rnacentral:rRNA from 1 species
CUCUCGCUGCAGGAUGAGCCCGUGUCCGAUUAGCUAGUUGGUAGGGUACUGGCCUACCAAGGCGACGAUCGGUAGCUGCUCUGAAAGGAUGAUCAGCCACACUGGCGACUGAGACACGGCCCCAGACUCCUACGGGAGGCAGCAGUGGGGAAUAUUGGACAAUGGGCGCAAGCCUGAUCCAGCAAUGCCGCGUGUGUGAAGAAGGCCUGCGGGUUGUAAAGCACUUUCAGUGGGGAAGAAAAGCCUGGGGUUAAUACCCCCGGGUCUUGAAGUUACCCACAGAAGAAGCACCGGCUAACUCCGUGCCAGCAGCCGCGGUAAUACGGAGGGUGCAAGCGUUACUCGGAAUCACUGGGCGUAAAGCGCACGUAAGCNGGGAACUCACUCAGAUGUGAAAGCCCCGGGCUCAACCUGGGAACUGCAUUUGAUACUGCUUGGCUCGAGUCCGGUAGAGGGGGGUGGAAUUCCAAGUGUAGCGGUGACAAUGCGUAGAUAUCUGGAGGACACUCACUGGCGAAUGCCGGCCCCUGGACC